UAGGGAAUCUUCGGCAAUGGACGAAAGUCUGACCGAGCAACGCCGCGUGAGUGUAGAAGGUUUUCGGAUCGUAAAACUCUGUUGUUAGAGAAGAACAAGGACGUUAGUAACUGAACGUCCCCUGACGGUAUCUAACCAGAAAGCCACGGCUAACUACGUGCCAGCAGCCGCGGUAAUACGUAGGUGGCAAGCGUUGUCCGGAUUUAUUGGGCGUAAAGCGAGCGCAGGCGGUUUCUUAAGUCUGAUGUGAAAGCCCCCGGCUCAACCGGGGAGGGUGAUUGGAAACUGGGAGACUUGAGUGCAGAAGAGGAGAGUGGAAUUCCAUGUGUAGCGGUGAAAUGCGUAGAUAUAUGGAGGAACACCAGUGGCGAAGGCGGCUCUCUGGUCUGUAACUGACGCUGAGGCUCGAAAGCGUGGGGAGCAAACAGG
rnacentral:rRNA from 1 species